GGAGAACCUAGAUACUGGAAAACGUCUUCAGGAAUAACAACACGAGUAGGUUGUUGAGUAGCAUCAACAGGCAAUGACAGUAGCACAUGACCUACUCUGCUUAAGAUGUAGGGAUCUCUAGCAAACCAUCCAACUGUGUCAAAACUCUGAGCCAUAGGAAUAACAUUGCUAGUAGAGAUAACAUCAUGAGAAGGUCGAAAACCGUAUAUUCCACAGUAUGCUGCAGGUACCCUUACACUUCCCCCGGUAUCAGUACCUAGAGAGAAGUCAACAAGCCCUGCAGCAACUGCCACAGCAGAACCACUAGAAGAUCC
rnacentral:misc_RNA from 1 species